ensembl:lncRNA
GUGCAAUGUUAGCUGAAGGCACCUGCCACCAAGCCUGAUGGCCCAAGUUGGAUUUUUGGACAAGCAUGAUAAAGAAAAAUGACUCCUGGAAGUUGUCCUCUGACUUCCAUGUACACACAUGCCAUGGUACAAACACACACACACACACACACACACACACACACACACACACACACACACACACACAUUAAUGCAUAAAUUAAAUAAAUAAUUUAAAAAUUUAAAGGAAAACUCAGUAGAAGGGAGAAGGGAACAUUAAGAAAUACCCUCAUUAGGAAAGUCAGCCAGAUGCAGAAAUCCACAACUAAUCAAUGGGCCAAGCUCCUGGAGUGAUACCAGACAUAAAGCAAAAGAUACCCAGCCUACAAUCCACAACCCCAGAGAAGCUAGAACCCUCUUCCAGAAACAGAUAGAAGCAGAUGCAGAAAUCCACAAGUAACCAAUGGGUCAAGCUCCUGGAGUACAAUCAAAGUGACGGAGGAGCAGUAAUAUGAACAAAGAAGUCAAGACCAUGACGGGAAACCCACAGAAUCAGCUGACCUGAGCUAGUGAGAGAUCACUGACUCAGGUCUGACAAAUGGGGAACCUGCAUAAGACCGAACUAGAUUCCCUUAAUAUAGGUGGCAAUGGUGAGGCUGGGACAAUAUAUGAGGCCACUGGCAGUGGGUCCAAGAUCUAACUCUAAUGCACAAAUUGACUUAGUGGAGCCCAUUCUACAUGGAGAGAUACCUUGCCCAGCCUAAACACAGGGGUGUGGGGAGUGGAGAGGUUCCUUGGUCCUGCCUCAAGGAGAUGAUGAGACAGACUUAGUAGACUUCCUAGGAGUGGCCUUACCCUCUCCGAGGAGCAGAUGGGAGGUGGGAUGAGGAGAAAGUGGGGGGAUCAGCAGGAGAGGAGGGAGCCGGAACUGGGAUUGGAAUGCCCAAAAAGACAAAAAAGAAAAGAAAUGCAGCCAUCCCCUAGUACCCUCAGGAGAUUUCUUCCAGAACCCAGGUCAACACUAAAAUCUCUGGAUUUCUCAGUCCUUUAUUUUACUUAUUUAUUUAUUUUGCUGUUUUUGAGACAGGGUUCCACUUUGUAGUUCUGACUGUUCUGGAACUCACUAUGUAAGCCAGGAAGGCCUUGAACUCAUGGAGAUCAGCUUGCCUCUACCCUCCUGAGUGCUGGAACUAAGGACAUGUGCCACCACCCUCAGCCUCUCUUAUUUUAACACAUUUAUUUAGUUAGUCUGUUCGCUUGUUUUUCUGUAUGUGUGCAAGUGUGUACAUGGGUGCCAUGGCACACAUGUGGAAGUCAGAGGACAAUUGCAGGAGUUGGUUUUCUCUUUCUACCACAUAGGACCUGAAAAUUGAAGUCAGGUUAUCAGGCCUGGGAACAAGCCCUUUUACCCUCUGAGCCAUCUUGCCUGUCCCCCAACUCUCUUAUUCCAGUGGCCUAAUAUCUCUGCAUGCAGCACAGAGCAUCCUUGCCUAUAUUUGUUUUUUUUUUUUUUGGUCCCUCAUUUUUUUUAUGCUGUUGUUUUGUUGGAACAUAGUCUUACUAUGUGGCCUAAACUACCUCACAAUAGUAAUCCCCCUGCCUCAUCCUUCUGCUCCCUCAUCUGAUGUAAACCAUCUCUAGAUUACUUAUACUGCAUGGAGCAGUGUAAAUAGUUGCUUUUCUGUAUCGUUUGGGAAACAAUAACAAGGAAAAUGUGUCUAUAACUAUAAACUAUAUAAUUUCUGCACUCACAGAUGCAGAGAACCACCUGCAGAGGCAGAACAUAAAGAAGCUAGGUGUGGCCAUGAGGCAGACACGAUUGGGGCUAAUUUAGGGCCUCCACUUAGCUUGGCUAUACACGCACCCCUCUCUUAACAAUGCACCUAGCGACCAAGGACACCGCACCACCACUCUAGCCACAUCAGGCUGCAGGUUUCAUGCACUUCAAACAGAAUAAGUUACUCCUCCCUAGCAACCUUUAACAACUCCCUUCCAUGGUCAGUUUUAGUUACAUGUAUUUCAGGAUGCAUCUGGGUAAGGGAUGCAGGGAACCCAUCUAUGCUGAACUAAUUUUGGGUGCACUCACAGUAAGCUAAACUGUGUCUUCUGAGUGAACUCUUAGAAGAAAAAUCUAUUUACCAUUUUAUGCCUAUGAAUAACUGGAUAUGCACUUAAUUAAAAUCAGGUGCAUCACAGGACAAGCUACCAUUUCUUACUGUGUUCCAGCCACCGGGCACAGAACUGUCAUCUAAGUCAUUGGCUUGUGUUAAAUACUUUCAUAGGUGUCAAAAAUUAUAGGCAGUUGCAGUGAGAUGGUUGUGCUGGCUUGAAUGAGAAUGUCCCCCAUAGGCGCCUGUAUCUGAACACUGGUCCCCAGGUGGUUGGUGAUGAUGUUUGCCGUGGUGACACGUCAUCGUGAGAUGACCACACAGGUCCCUCCUCCCAAACUGUGAAAGAGCAAUAACAAAUGGCUCUGUGGCUGGUGCUACAGCUCCAUGGUAGAGUGCUUGCCUGUGUGUGUGAGGCACUGGAUUUGACUGGUUCUGGCACCUCAACUAACAAGAAGUCAAGCAUAAUGGUGUAAUCUGCAAUCCCAGCAUGUGGGAGGUAGAGGCAGGAGGAUCAGGCUUUCUAGGUCAUCCUCAGCUACAUUUCAGUUUUGAGGAUAGCCUAGGCUACAUGAGACCCUACAAAUUAAUAAUUGUCGUAAGUGACCUUUUUUGUUGUUUUUUUGUUUGUUUGUUUGUUUGUUUGUUUUUCGAGACAGGGUUUCUCUGUGUAGCUUUGGAGCCUGUCCUGGCACUCGCUCUGGAGACCAGGCUGGCCUCAAACUCACAGAGAUCUGCCUGCCUCUGCCUCCUGAGUGCUGGGAUUAAAGUCGUGCGCCACCAACGCCCAGCUUGGAAUUGAUUUUUAAAAUAUAGUGUCAUAAGUGACCUUUUUGGCACCAUGAAAUCUAGGAAAAGUUUUGGAGUGAAGACAACCAGAACACCUCCACAUGAAGGACACUUCGGGUCAGAGUUGAGUCUCCUCUUCCAAUUGUCACUCAAAGGGUACCAGGCAUGUGAAGAGAGGAUUUUUACCUUGAGUGACAAUUCUCUUCUCCAGCGCUGGAGAUGGAAUCCCAGGACAAUGGCCAAGCUGCAACCAUUCGGCCACUAGUCAGGAAGUAAGGCUAGAGGCCAGGCAGCCUUUGGCCCCCAGGGACAGUGGCUUCACAAAGCACAGAGAGGAACCUCUUCUGUGGAUGGUGUUUUCCAUACAAGGCUUAGGAUGCUGGAAGGUGACUAAACUGCAGUUAAAAUAUGAGAGGAAGAUUCCUGCAGAAUCUACAAGGACAGGCAGGGGCCAGGAAAGAAUGACAUCAUCCUGUUUGGGAACAAAUGCAAAGCAUGUGUAAAACUUUCACCUUUAAAGAUGAGUAAGCAUGAAAAAAAUACAUGUGUACAAUAGAAAAUUCUAGAAUCUGGACAAUAUAACACCUGCCAGACAUGAGAGUGAACUAUAGUACUUGGAAGGUGAAGACGAGAGAACAGAAUGACGAGUUUAUGGUUAUCCUUGGUUACAUCCUGAGCUUGAGACAAGCCUGGGUUACAUGCAACUCUGUCUUAGAGAAACCAAAGAAGCAACCUAGAGAGCUGGUUAGGCUGCUAUGAGCCAGGCUGAUUCUUGGCACACCUCAGUCACAGCUCUCAGCAGCAUGAUGCCCUCUUCUGGCCUCUUCAGACAUCUGCUUGCGUGCGUGUGUGCACGUGCAUACACCCCCACACAGAGAGGGGGGGCAUGCGCACCCACAAUUAAACAUAAAAAUAUUAUUUUGAAAAAUGAAGAAGAGGAGGAAGGGAGAGGGAGGAGGUAGUUAAUGGCAAGGAAAAUAUAGCAUAAGGUGGAAGUAACUUUUAAAAAGUUUUACAAUAUGAAGAAGUCAAUUUAAACAGCCUCUGAUUUAUCCCGUGUGGAUGAAAUGAGCCAAAGGCAUGCACUAAUAUGAGUGACCCUGUUCAUAAGGUAAAAUUAAUAGUUAUGAGCUUGAGUCCAUAAUCUAUAGUACAUUUACAAAAACUGAUAAAACAUUUAUUUCAAAGAAAGCGUCAGCUGGGCGUGAAGGUCCAUGCCCUUAAUCAUAGCACUUGGGAGGCAGAGGCAAGUGGAUCUCUGUGACUUCAAGGCCAGCCAGGGCUACAUAGUGAGUUCCAGGCCAGCCUGGUCUAGAUAGUGAAGCCUUUUUUUUUAAAGGAGAGAAAAAGAAACAUCAUUAAAUUCCAAAACAGAUCUUGAGGUGUGGCUCAAUAGUACAGUGCUGCCUUAGUGUGGGAAAAGACUGUGAGUUCAACACUCAGAACUGAGAAAUAAAUUCAUGCUCCGGGGUUCUCUGGCAGCCUUCAGAAAGGCUUUUGUCUUCCCUGGACCUGGGCUUUCUUCCUUGUAGAAGGGGGACAGUGGUAGCACCUGCCUUAUAGGCAUGAUUUCGUGGGGAUUAAAUGAUUUUGUAAGAGUUUUGGGGAAGAACUUGGUAAAUUCUAAACUCUAUUACUGCGGCCUAUUAUUCUGGGCACAGUUAAAGAAAAUAAAAAUUCAGUAAUAAAACUAUGCUGUGUGUGUAUGUGCAUGGUGGGUGUUGUGUGGGUGUAUUGUAUGUGUGUAUGGUGUGUGUGUGUGUGUGUGUGUGUAGGUGUGACUGUGGAGGCCAGGUGACAUCAGUUUUCUCCGGUGUCACUCUUCUCCUCAUUUUUUGAGACAGGGUCUCUCACUGAACAGAAAGCUGCCAGGUCUUCCUGUUUCUGUCCACCCAGAGAUGGGGUUACAAGCACAUACCUCCCUAUCCAGCUCUUAUGUGGAUUCAGAAGCAGGUCCUCAAGCUUGAACAACAAGCACUGUACUCACUGAGCCGUCUCUCCUGACCUUAUUCACUGUGCUGUCUCUGCCACCCUAACAAAGCUUUCAUCUACCCACUCCACCCUCAACCAUUAGUACUCACAGCCACCAGUCACAGGACAGCAUGGCUAGAGACUCUGAACACUGAAUCUAAGACAGGAGUUCGGGAAGAAUAAGCUGGAACACGCAAGGCCACAUGAGCAUCGUCAUUGCAUAUGGCUUCAGGAUUGUUAUGGUGCUGGCAAGAUGCCUGGCCUUGGCAUGGUUCACAAUCUCUUGGAUUGGGGAAAGAAAAGUGAAUCCAUACUCGGGCUUACAGGAGGUAAACGACCCCACCAAAAAAAAAGUGAAAGGGUGACUGGGACAGUGUGAAGAAGGUCAGGAGCUCUGAAGGUCAGUGUGGAUGCCAAAAGCAAGAGUAAGGACCCUACAGUUACGGUGCCUGUUGGAGGCUGUGUGCAUUUUAAAGAAAGAUUUAUUUAUAUUACUGUGCAUGUCUGCACGCAUGUGCAUGUGAGUGCAGGGGCUCACAGAUGCCAGAAGAUGGUGUUGGGUCCCUGGAGCUGAAGUUGCAGGUGAUUGUGAGUCUCCUGACAAUGGCUCGGGAAAACUCAACUUUGUGCUAGGCACCCAUUCUCAAUUCCUGAAAGACAAGCAAGCUGCUGGCAACUCCUUGCCUACCUCCCUAGAAUUUUAAAACUGUUGAGAGAUGAUUAAAUGCUUGUUCUAGUUCCUGUAAACUCCGUUAUUGUUGUGGACAGAGGCUGUUCCUCACCUAGCUGUAAAUUCCACAGGAAUAAAGAAAUUGUGACCUGCCUUCAAAAGCUCCCCUCCCUCCCCCACUUUAAGCUGGGCCUCAGUUCUAAUUUCUACUAUGGGAACAGAGUACAGCUGCAGCUUAAAAUAAAAACCCAGCUAAUUAUAACUGGAUAGAGUUGGGUGGUCUUUCGGUGUUUUCUAACUUCGUAACGCCCUAUGCAGGUCCUUUGCAAGAGCUGUGUGCACUCUUGACUGGGUCAUCCCCCAGACUCUUGUGUGAAUUUUUAAUAACAGGAUUAAUAAAAUGAAAACUUAGAGUUGAGAAAGAUGGAGGAGGAGUAGGGAGGGAGGAAGGGAGGGAGAGAGGGAGGGAGGGGGAGAGCCUUUCACCUCUUCUCUCUGUAGCUCACACCACUUUACACACAAGGGCUGGGAGCAGAGAUGCACACUUUAAAUCUCAGCACUGGGGAAGAAAGAGCCAAGGGAAUCUCCUGUGAGUUCAAGGCCAGCCUGGUCUAUAUAGUUAGUUUAGUUCCAGGACAGCCAGAGCUACAUGGUGAGAUACUGUCAUACACACACACACACAGACACACACACACACACACACACACACACACACACACACACACACGGAGCAAACAAGCACUUUCAAUUUGCUGAGAGUGAGAAGAGCCAGGAGGAGCUAGACAGGAAUUCUGCUCUGCCUGGGGCAGCUCCUCCAAGGCCCAGUGGCAGAGGAAAUGUACCUUUUGUGACCAGAGCCAACCUCCUGCUAUUCCCCUGCCUCAUGCCCCUCUGACAAGAAUGAGAAGGUCCUGGUUCCUUUGUGGAGACAUGGUGUGGCAGCUAACUUCCCUUCAGCCAGGCUUUCCAAAGCACCCUGAAGCUCAACCCAGCACCUGCAGUGAGCAUGUUUGCUGACAGGUGCUGUAGUAAUCAGCAACCAGUGCGCCCCCUGCUGUUGGAAAGAAGAUAUAGCCGACUGUUCUUCACUGCCCCAAAUCAAGAUCUCAGGACUUCCGUGUUUGCGUGUAGACACCCUUCCCCAGCCUCAUUCUCCAUCAGGACCCUUAAACAUCAGAGAUUCCUGGUGAGUGCCCACCAGCAAGCAGGCAUAAUCCUAAAGAGACUGUAUAAUGCUCUGGAUGGGACAUAGGGCCCUGCGCAUUAUGGCUUCGGGCUCUGCCAACGAGAUAGGCCUGCCUCCCCAGGAAUCAACUUGAUUGGACAGAGCUCAAUCCUCUCCUGCUGCUGGGCUGCAGAUACAUACAAGACCCUUGGAAUCCAGCCAUCAAUAUGAAAAUGAGUCCAGACUAUAGAGACAAAUGUGGCCUCAUUUGUUUGCACAAAUGCUCCAGGUGCUGGUGCCUGGUCGGUGUGGCCAUCUAGUGACCAGAGAGGAAACUGCAGCGAUGGGCGCCGCUUACAGCAAUGAGGUCAUCCAUCUCCUUUUCCCAGAGCUCAGGUUUCUCCGCAGAAGGAGGGAUUCCAGCUGUGCCGCAGGAUCCUUGGAAAAGAUACUUUGAAAUUAAAGAAAAUUGGAAGCGCUCCCUUAAAGCCAACUUCUUCAUGCAUUUAUGCCACUGGAAAGUAUUUGGUGCGGGUAGACAGAGCCCCUUCAUGCGUGGAGCUUGGUGUUGACGGUUUCCUUCAGAUGAUAUGGAUGUGAAGCCUGGAAACUACCAGUGCUGUGUUUGGGAAGAAAAAAAGCAAUUGCACAGCUUCUCACUAUAGACUUCAGUGUGGAGCUGGACAAAUCAGAAGUGUAGAAAAUGUCACACUUUAAAGCCAUGGACAAACACUUCAGAACGGACAGGGAGGGUGUGUUCGCUUGGUGACAUUUCUAAAGCACCUGGUAUUCGUGGAUGGAUGCUCCCAGGCUAGGAGGGGACAGUGGAGACUGGAGCAAGGGUACCUCUGCCUGUGGCACCCUGCCCUGCUCCAUCUAGAACAUACCUGCUUUCCGGAGCUCACAGUCCAGAAGCUAAUCUUUAUGGCUCACUCUCCCACAAGGAACCUCUCACCACCCAUGAGCGAGUCUCCUCAGCUCUCACUGCAGUUAGUAUAUUUACUGCAUUUAUGUUGAUUUUUUUCUCAGCUCUCCCCUCCCC